rfam:Capsella rubella cultivar Monte Gargano unplaced genomic scaffold scaffold_1, whole genome shotgun sequence.
UUGUAUUCAAAAGGUCAUGCCUCGUUCUGGUGGUAUGGCCAUUGUCGAGGAUGCGUAAAGAGAUAGCUGUUAAUUCAGUAAGCGGCCAGACAACCGUUGGGAUAGAUCCACAGGUGUUGCGGUUUCUCUAUCCGCUCUCUGCCUACUAAAUCUAUCCCACAUUU